rnacentral:tRNA from 1 species
GGCUUGCUGGUCUAAUAGUAUGAUUCUCGCUUUAGGUGCGAAAGGUCACGGGUUCGAUUCCCGUGCGAGCCC